AGAGUUUGAUCCUGGCUCAGGAUGAACGCUGGCGGCGUGCCUAACACAUGCAAGUCGAGCGAUUCUCUUCGGAGAAGAGCGGCGGACGGGUGAGUAACGCGUGGGUAACCUGCCCUGUACACACGGAUAACAUACCGAAAGGUAUGCUAAUACGGGAUAAUAUAUUUGAGAGGCAUCUCUUGAAUAUCAAAGGUGAGCCAGUACAGGAUGGACCCGCGUCUGAUUAGCUAGUUGGUAAGGUAACGGCUUACCAAGGCGACGAUCAGUAGCCGACCUGAGAGGGUGACCGGCCACAUUGGGACUGAGACACGGCCCAAACUCCUACGGGAGGCAGCAGUGGGGAAUAUUGCACAAUGGGCGAAAGCCUGAUGCAGCAACGCCGCGUGAGUGAUGAAGGCCUUCGGGUCGUAAAGCUCUGUCCUCAAGGAAGAUAAUGACGGUACUUGAGGAGGAAGCCCCGGCUAACUACGUGCCAGCAGCCGCGGUAAUACGUAGGGGGCUAGCGUUAUCCGGAUUUACUGGGCGUAAAGGGUGCGUAGGCGGUCUUUUAAGUCAGGAGUGAAAGGCUACGGCUCAACCGUAGUAAGCUCUUGAAACUGGAGGACUUGAGUGCAGGAGAGGAGAGUGGAAUUCCUAGUGUAGCGGUGAAAUGCGUAGAUAUUAGGAGGAACACCAGUAGCGAAGGCGGCUCUCUGGACUGUAACUGACGCUGAGGCACGAAAGCGUGGGGAGCAAACAGGAUUAGAUACCCUGGUAGUCCACGCCGUAAACG
rnacentral:rRNA from 1 species